rnacentral:rRNA from 1 species
AUUGAACGCUGGCGGCAGGCUUAACACAUGCAAGUCGAACGAGAGGCGGACGGGUGAGUAAGGAUUGGGCAUGUAGCUUGGGGAGAGGGACAGCUACGGGCAACUGUAGCUAAUACCGCGUAACUAAGGAUGGGCCCAAGUGGGAUUAGGUAGUUGGUGGGGUAAAGGACGACCAAGCCGACGAACUCUAGCUGGUCUGAGAGGAUGACCAGCCACACUGGUACUGAGACACGGCCCAGACUCCUACGGGAGGCAGCAGUGGGGAAUAUUGGACAAUGGGGGCAACCUGAUGCAGCCAUGCCGCGUGAAUGAAGAAGGCCUUCGGGUUGUAAAGUUCUUUCAGUUGGGAGGCGUUAACAACAGAAGAAGCACCGGCUAACUCCGUGCCAGCAGCCGCGGUAAUUC